AUUGAACGCUGGCGGAAUGCUUUACACAUGCAAGUCGAGCGGCAGCGCGGGGCAACCUGGCGGCGAGCGGCGAACGGGCGAGUAAUGUAUCGGAACGUGUCCUGUAGUGGGGGAUAGCCCGGCGAAAGCCGGAUUAAUACCGCAUACGAUCUACGGAUGAAAGCAGGGGAUCGCAAGACCUUGCGCUAUAGGAGCGGCCG
rnacentral:rRNA from 1 species